rnacentral:rRNA from 1 species
CCUACGGGAGGCAGCAGUGAGGAAUAUUGGUCAAUGGACGAGAGUCUGAACCAGCCAAGUAGCGUGAAGGAUGACUGCCCUAUGGGUUGUACACUUCUUUUAUAUGGGAAUAAAAUGUUCCACGUGUGGGAUUUUGUAUGUACCAUAUGAAUAAGGAUCGGCUAACUCCGUGCCAUCAGCCGCGGUAAUACGGAGGAUGCGAGCGUUAUCCGGAUUUAUUGGGUUUAAGGGGUUCGUAGCCGGAAUGCCAAGUCAGCGGUAAAAUCGCGGGGCUCAACCUAGCUCCGCCGUUGAAACUGGCGUGCUGGAGUGGGCGAGAGGUAGGCGGAAUGCGUGGUGUAGCGGUGAAAUGCAGAGAUAUCACGCAGAACUCCGAUUGCGAAGGCAGCAUACCGGAGCCCAACUGACGCUGAAGCACGAAAGCGUGGGUAUCGAACAGGAUUAGAUACCCUUGUAGUC